rnacentral:pre_miRNA from 1 species
UACAUACUCCCUCCGUCUGGAAAUACUUGUCGGAGAAAUGGAUGUAUCUAGAUGUAUUUUAAUUCUAGAUACAUCUUUUUUUAUCCAUUUCUCCGACAAGUAUUUUCGGACGGAGGGAGUACAUG